rnacentral:rRNA from 1 species
UACGUAGGGUCCGAGCGUUGUCCGGAAUUAUUGGGCGUAAAGGGCUCGUAGGCGGUCCGUCACGUCGGGAGUGAAAACUCAGGCUCAACCCUGAGCGUGCUUCCGAUGACGGGCGGACUAGAGGUAUGCAGGGGAGAACGGAAUUCCUGGUGUAGCGGUGGAAUGCGCAGAUAUCAGGAGGAACACCGGUGGCGAAGGCGGUUCUCUGGGCAUUACUGACACUGAGGAGCGAAAGCAUGGGGAGCGAACAGG